AAUGAAAUGCCUGACUAAAGGACUAUUUUGAUAGAAUAGAUAAUGUAGCUAAACUACUUUCAUUA
rnacentral:tRNA from 1 species